GGAAAGCUAUGCCUGCAAGCAGAAACCACCGAGGUUGCUGCUUCAUGGCUCUCGCUGUUUUCUAGACGUCUGAUGCAAACCUCAUAUGUAGAAAAGGCCCAGGUUUCGCACAUGCAACCAGAUAAAACCGUGCUCAAAUUGCUGGAAAAUCCUAAUGUCGAGCACUGGGAUUUUAAGGACUGUGCUGAUACGGAGUCUUUACUUAUUGGCCUUUCGGACUUGCUUCCAAGCUGUUCCUCCGUCAAGAGCCUUAGUUUAGCAAACUGCAAGCUCGGUGACAAAGAGAUGUCAAAGAUACAAGGACACUUAGCGACCAUGUCCAUGUCUUUGAAGGUUGCCCUUG